UCGUCCUCUUUUCCUCAAAUUAAUCCUUGAUUAUCUUCUUUUGAAAGUCCUUCUUUAAAUCCAUUAAAUCUUUUUAUUUUUCUUUUUUUCUCUUUAUUACUUUAGAGCAUUAUUUGUUGUUCUGCCCCUGUCCUCUUUUCGUUAAAUUAAUCCUUGAUAAUCCUCACUUGAAACUCCUUCUUUAAAUCCAUUAAAUCUUUUUAUUUUUCUUUUUUUCUCUUUAAUACUUUAGAGCAUUAUUUGUUGUUCUGCCCCUGUCCUCUUUUCGUUAAAUUAAUCCUUGAUAAUCCUCACUUGAAACUCCUUCUUUAAAUCCAUUAAAUCUUUUUAUUUUUCUUUUUUUCUCUUUGAUACUUUAGAGCAUUAUUUGUUGUGCUGCCCCUGCCCUUUUUUCGUUAAAUUAAUCCUUGAUAAUACCUCACUUGAAACUCCUUCUUUCAAUCCAUUAAAUCUUUUUUUUUUUUUUUCUCUUUAAUACUUUAGAGCAUUAUUUGUUGUUCUCCCCCUGUCCUCUUUUCGUUGAAUUAAUCCUUGAUUAUUUUCUCUUGAAACUCCUUAUCAAAUCUUGAAAAUCAGUAUAAGAUUUUCGGUCUUAGUAAAGAUUUGAAAGAGACCCAGCUACCGCAUACAUUGAAAGAAAUUUCAAAAGGCAGAUGUCUGACAACAGCAUAUCUUGCCUUGAGGUUGAGAAUUGAAACUGACAAAAAGAUAUGUCAAAAUUGAAAUACGUUAAAAAUCUUUCUAAUUUGUAGCGAUCGAUUGCAUUUAACGAUGGCAUUAGACAAUAUCAUUAAAGUUCAAGCUUGUGGGUCAAAAAGUUUUUCAUUCAAAGAAACUGCGUACUUUUUGACCUACUAAACAGGCAAAACGUGCAAAUAUAUCAACAGUCAUUUUACCAGAAGGCAACAGAAAGGCUAUGACGACUUGCAAAAUUUCAUAAAACAAAACUUGGAAAAGCAUUUUGUUAGUAACUACGAUAAGGUAUACGAAAUAGCACUGAAUUAUUCGGAAAGCAAUGCAGAGCAAGACAACAGCUCGUAGAAUUUUAUAUACUAUUAUUAGCUAUUUACUUCCGAUUUAAUUCUAUAAAACAUUAAAGUUGGGUAUUUUACAAUCUUUAAUGUAAAUCUCAAAACCUGCCUAUAACCUUCACCGAGUAUAUUUAGUAUCAGCUUUAGAUAAUACCCUUGGAGAAGUAUGUAAUUAAUCAAGAAAAUAAGAUUUGUAGGCAAAAUAAACGGAAAAGAAGCCCAGUGUUUCUAAUUUAUCGAUAAGCCGAAUGUUAUAUUUUCCAGAUUUUUUCUAGAUCCGCGAAACCAGUUUCCUUUUUCAAAUGCCAAAAAUUCCAAUUUUCGAAGUAAAUUCUCCAAAUAACAAGAUGAAUGCCCCUUGCAACACCCGGCAAUGCGAUAACGUUUCCAUCUUUCAAUCGGCUAGUCUUCCCUUUGUUCUUUCACUAGAUCAUUUUGCUUGAAGGAAAACAAAGGAUUGAGUUGGGGCUACUCCAUAGAAAAUAAAAACUACAAUGAUUAAACAAGUGUGGAUUAUACACAGGUUUUUAUGGUCCUCGUAAUUAUUUACAAGAAUUACAUCCCGCAGGUAGACUUUUUAUCCAUUAAGUAGAUGGUAUACAGUUAAUCCGUACUUUAUAUGUGUAUAAAUUUCAUCUGUAUUAGCGAAUGCGAGAGAAAAAUAUGAGUCUGACGAGCGAGGUCUGACGUCAUCCUUGAGUGAUUUCUCCGCAACUUUUAUGCCUUGGCAACUUUUGAUAUCUCAUUUUAUCAAAAUUUCAUUCACAGGGUUUUUCUAAAAAAUUUUAGAUAGUUACAGCUACAUCAAAUUUAUUCUUCCCCAACAAUUUAACUUAAGGCAGUUCUUUGUCAACAUGGAUUCUUCUUCUCAAUUUUUUAGUAUUGUCAAUUUUUGCGUCCGUACUAAAUGUCGCCGUUUUCUUUAUCUUUUUAGCUAGCUUUUUCUUUAAAAUAUAAUUAGUGCCUCUGAUUUUCCAUAUGGCCAAAAAGCAGUUGUUUGAAAACAGUAAAGAUAUCUGCUUUCGUCAACACGUAUCGACGAAGGAGCUUUACUACCCAGAAUGCUAUUCGCCUUUCGUGUGAUUAAAAACAUGGCUUCGAAGAAAGUUGUUUUCGUCAUAAGCGGCUCACGUGUUAUAGUUAUUCAAAGAAAAUUUAUAUUUACUAUGCGACAAGAUGUUAGAUAAAUAUAUUGUAAUGUUGAACAGUUAAAGGCCGAAGAGUCAUGGAUAUUUGAUUUCUGUGGUAUUUUGUCUUGAUGGGAAAACUUUGGAACCAAAAGCCAGGGCUCACAAAUUCCUCUUCAGAGCUCCAUCAAUAUAGCCAGUUGAUGCUUUGAACACCUAGAAAUUGGAUAUGAAUGGGAUCUGGACUAAAACCUUCAUAAGAACUUGUAUGACUUUUGCAGGAAAAAUGUUCGCUGUCGCAGAUACCCAGUGGACACCGCAAUAAAAGAUGAUGUCGAUGCAUCAGUAGAAAGAGGGAAACGCACAUGAAGGAAAGGUUUACCACAUGAACCAAGUCUCUAUACAGAAAUCCAAUACAGACACUUUCCUUGUUUGUAAUCGUUUAAAGAUUUUGCAGCCACAAGAACGUUGCAGAAAAUUCUAUUCCGUAUGGCAUGUAAACUUGAUUUCUCACGCUCAACCAUGUAACAUCUCUUUGUAACUUGUCCAGUGGCCUUUAGCUCCCGGAUUGAAUGCCCCCCUCACCCUUAAAGUGUUGCUUAUGUGCCGCCUAACUACCGAAAUUGUUCGGCCUAACUGCCCAAAAUUAAGUAGGGUAACUCUGAACGGAAAGCUGCAAUUUGGAGCCAUCUAUUGUCGGGAAAUGUACAAAGAAGUCUCUAAGUUAACCAUAAACACACCCUCUUCGAUCGCGUGGAACAUAGGUCGAUGCAAUAUCCAGGGCAAUCGCAAGGCAAGCCUUGAUGAGGGGGGAGGUGUGGACAACAAAUUUACCUGAUUAUUAAACAAUUACCUGAAAUUCUUAACAUGCUGAAGCAAACCUCUGCAAUACUUUUUGUCAAUCUAACGGUGUGGCAUAUAAUUCGCAAUUUUCAAUUUUUUAUGAUUAUAACGGACUUUUAUAAUAGUUUUGUCAAAUCUGUAUAUCGGGACGGGCAAGGAUAUACCUACCCGAGCCCGCACCAUGGUUGCCGCCGAGGGACUAGAAAUUUUUCGAAUUUUGAUGCUUCCUGUUCCCUGGAAAAUAAUUUUUUUUUGCCAAAUUUUACUAAAGCAAUCCUCUUAAUCCUAUUAAAAAUUCUUUUAUUUUUACAAACAAAUCGAGCAGCAGAUAAAAACAACUGGCAAAAUUUCCCCGUGGUUUGAAAAAUUCCAUGUUGUCAGUUACCUCUGAAGCCAGGUAACAAGCAGCACUGGUUGUCAAUUUAGAUCCCUCUUUCCAACCUAGCAUGCCUUUUGAAUGUUACAAAAAACCUGGAGCUCAUUAUGAAUUGCAGUUGACGCUUCUACCGAGAAACUUUAGGGGAAAUGGACACAUGGCACAAUUUUACCUAAAAAGGGCAUGGAUUAUUAAAUUUUGUGCCAACAAGAAAUCUUCAAAUCUUCAAAUCAUUAGUUUGUUUACCUUCCUUCAUAUCAAGAAAUAUCAUAUUUAACCAAAGGAGCAACUACCUUUGCUUAAUUCUUUAUUGACUUUAAGCAUGACGGUCUCUGAAAUUCCUAAAGCGUUGCUUCCACUGGGCGGACUUUACCUGAAAUUUCCUAUCCAGAUGCUAUUGAGGAGUUGUGACACCCCCCAGUCGCGACGCCCCUGGUAAUAUUGAACCCCUUUCCUACUUACAACCCUGCAUCCUUAGUAAAUGUAUAUUCUGAAGCUACUUAGCACCCUUAUUGCCCUCUCAAACCUACCUUUUUAAACAGUGAACGACAAGUGUCGUCUAACUACAGCGAAAAGAUGCCCAUCUCCAUCGGGAGCAUUCCCCAUCAUUGAUACAUUGUUUAUGUUCUCCUUUUAGGUUCGGCCUUGUCGAUUGCCACCCUCAACAAGUUAAGAGAGUAUUUUGAGAUGAAGCUUUAGAAAUUGUCUAUUGAAUUUCUUUUGUUUGAAGUGAGAAUCUUUUGAAUUGUUGGUUUUUAGGAAAGAUAAUUUUUACUCGCUCAUCCAAAAGGUUAAAGUAAACGUCCUUUUGUGGAAUGGUAGCAUGGAUUGAGAUAAAUAUUGCUUAUUUUCUGUGUAUUUUUCCUGUUUUGCGUUUAAAAGAUAUUUGAUAUUCCAGCCGG